UGUAUUUGAACACAAGAAAAUAAUAGUAAACCUUUGCCAUAAUAACGAAAGUUAUUAUGGUACCAGAGCAGGCCUAAUAUUCUCCUUCCAAACCCCAAAACACACAAAAAAAAAACUUUAAUUCAUGGCUGGCGGCAAGAAAAGCACUUCUGAUUCCGCUGCGUUCCAAGCUUCCUUUUCUGCCAAAUAAAACUCAGGUCAGUCGCAAGCUAAAUUUACUAAAAAGGAGAUUAAGAAAGGGACGGGUGGCGAACCGGUGGAACACUGUGAUGUUUGUGGCAGAGAUGGUCACAAGAAAAAUGGUUGUUUCAAAAUCAUCGGUUACCCGGAUUGGUGGCCUGGUAAAGGGAAGCAAACCACAACGAAACCGAAGGCUGCCUUUGUCGAAAGUGAAAGCAGCCCCAUACCAGGGCUGACCAACGAAUAGUACCAACAAUUCAUAAGCUUUUUCGGGGACAAAGAGCAGUCCAACAAGGAAGAAAGAGGUCCAGCCGCAAAUGUCGCAGGUAACAGUUUGAGUUCGAGGGAAUUGAUUGGAGCGGGUGAAUGUUCAAAUGGUCUAUACGAGAUGUCCGUCAUAGAAGGCGAGAGGAAAGCCAUGAUGGUUAACACCAAUACGUGGCAUAGAAGAUUGGGUCACGUAUCUAUUUCAAAACUUUCUCAUUUUGGUUUUGCUAAGGAUUUGUCUUUAAACUCAAAACAUUUUUGUGAUUCUUGCAAUAAGGCAAAGUUUACCAGAUUACCAUUUCCCACUAGUACUUCCAAAACCAAUGCAUGUUUUGAACUUGUACAUUGCGAUGUGUGGGGUAAGUAUCGAACACCUUC
rnacentral:lncRNA from 1 species